ACUUAUUUAGUUUAUUUCGAUAACAUUUUGAAAAGAUGUAGGGGGAAUUAAGUG
rnacentral:tRNA from 1 species